rnacentral:rRNA from 1 species
AACGAACGCUGGCGGCGUGCUUAACACAUGCAAGUCGAACGUGAAAGGCUUCGGCCGAGUAAAGUGGCGCACGGGUGAGUAACGCGUGGGUAAUCUGCCCUUGGGCGGGGGAUAACCUCUCGAAAGGGGGGCUAAUACCGCAUGAGACCACGGCUUCUCGGGGCUGUGGGAAAAGGUGGGUCGCAAGGCCUGCCACCUGAGGAUGAGCCCGCGUACCAUUAGGUAGUUGGUAGGGUAACGGCCUACCAAGCCGACGAUCAGUAGGGGGUGUGAGAGCAUGGCCCCCCCACACGGGUACUGAGACACGGACCCGACUCCUACGGGAGGCAGCAGUAAGGAAUAUUGGUCAAUGGAGGCAACUCUGAACCAGCCAUUCCGCGUGAAGGAUGAAUGCCCUCUGGGUUGUAAACUUCUUUAGUCUGGGAAGAAAACAUAUAUUCAUAUAUGUCUGACGGUACCAGAAGAAUAAGCACCGGCUAACUCCGUG